rnacentral:rRNA from 1 species
CCUACGGGCGGCAGCAGUGGGGAAUUUUGGACAAUGGGCGCAAGCCUGAUCCAGCUAUUCCGCGUGUGGGAAGACGGCCUUCGGGUUGUAAACCACUUUUGUAGAGAACGAAAAGUCUAUUGAUAAUACCGAUAGACGAUGACGGUACUCUAAGAAUAAGCACCGGCUAACUACGUGCCAGCAGCCGCGGUAAUACGUAGGGUGCGAGCGUUAAUCGGAAUUACUGGGCGUAAAGGGUGUGCAGGUGGUUUUGCAAGAUGGAUGUGAAAGCCCCGGGCUUAACCUGGGAAAGCCAUACAUGACUGCAAGACUAGAGUGCGUCAGAGGUAAGUGGAAUUCCUAGUGUAGCGGUGGAAUGCGUAGAUAUAUGGAAGAACACCAGUGGCGAAGGCGGCUCUCUGGUCUGCAACUGACGCUGAGGCUCGAAAGCAUGGGUAGCGAACAGGAUUAGAUACCCUAGUAGUC